rnacentral:rRNA from 1 species
AUUGAACGCUGGCGGCAUGCUUUACACAUGCAAGUCGAACGGUAACAGGCUGAAAGGUGCUGACGAGUGGCGGACGGGUGAGUAAGGCAUCGGAACGUGCCCAGACGUGGGGUUUAACUACUCGUAAGGGUAGCUAAUACCGCAUACGACCGAUGACUGAAUGCGGGGGACCGCAAGGGAUCGCGCGAUUGUAGCGGCUGAUGUCAGAUUAGGUAGUUGGUGGGGUAAAGGCUCACCAAGCCAACGAUCUGUAGCUGGUCUGAGAGGACGACCAGCCACACUGGGACUGAGACACGGCCCAGACUCCUACGGGAGGCAGCAGUGGGGAAUAUUGGACAAUGGGCGCAAGCCUGAUCCAGCAAUGCCGCGUGCAGGAAGAAGGCCUUCGGGUUGUAAAGUGCUUUUGUACGGAACGAAACGGCUCUGGUUAAUACCCGGGGCUAAUGACGGUACCGAAAGAAUAAGCACCGGCUAACUACGUG